GUACAUGCUUUAGUAACAACACUUCAAAGGGUCCAUUAUCUUUCUUAAGAGAAAAGAUUUUUUGUUUGAGAAUACGUUAGAUAACUAAGUAAACUCGUUUAUGCAUCUUCUACUUGAUCAUUAUGUUAUGAUUUACUCAAUGAAAACACAAACGAGGAAAUUACAUAAGUCUCAAUGAAAUCAGUAGAUGAAAACUCCUUUGCAUUUUAUUUUUAUUAUUAGCAUAAUGAAGUGACUUUCUUUUUGUUACAUCCACCCAACAACCAUUUAACGUUAUAAUUUCAAUCAAAUGAAAGGUGCCACCAACAAUAGCCUUCAUUCACGCUACUCUCACUGUAAUCAACUGCAACCAAAAAGCUACAAAAUAAAGUAUGAUUUUAACUAAAGUACAGCAUGAAUGUAUAGUAAUAUAAAAACCAAGAUUUUAUUUCGUCCCUAAAUGCUUGACUAUAGGUACAUUGUUUAAAGGAAACCAAUGCGGUUAGCAACAUCAAGAGCAUCAGCAUCAGCAGACAACUUAACGAAAGCCUUCUUGGUACCGUUAGGACGAAUCAAAGUGUUGAUCUUGACGGGUUCAACGCUGUAAAGCUUACGAACAGCCUCCUUAAUGGUGAACUUGUUGGCUUUAAGAUGGACAUGGAAGACAAGAGUGUUGUCAUCUUCAAUCUUCUUCAUAGCGGACUCGCUAUUAAUGGGAUUGACGAUGAUUUUGUACUCAUCGAGACGAGGAGCAUGAGCAACACUCUUGCGAGCAUACUUGGGCUUGCGAGAAAGCUGAA